UUCAAGUUGCAAAAUCAGAAACGGCAAACAAGGCUGUCGGGAGAGGCAUUCAGGAGAGUAACACGCCGGACACGCACACGCAGGCAGACACGCGCGCACACGCCCGGCACACGGCUCCCCACUCGCGCACACGCACACACGCACGGGCACAGGCACACGCGGUCCGGGCGCUACGAGCGCGGAGGAUGUGCAGGCAUAGAGGAAGCCGUGGCGCCGCCGAGGAGGAGGAGGAGGAGGAGAGGGAGGAGGAGGAGGAGGAGGAGGAGGAGGAGGGGAAGGAAGAGGAGGAGGAGGUCGCCGCUCGCCGCUCGCCGCCGCCGGGGCCCGGCCGCCGCCGCUCCCGCGGAGGCUGCUCCCGCUGCCGCUGCAGCCGCCGCCGCCGGUGCCGCCACGCCACGGGUUUUAAUGAUGGAGAAGAAAACACGCUCGCUGCACAGAGGAGCAAGCGGGGGAGUGGUGUUGGAGCGGCCAGAACAACCCCAACCACCCUGCGCGCAAUGCGGCCCCCCCACCCCUGGACCCCUCCCCAAAUAAAACAGCACUGGAGAGAAGAAUCCCCUUCUUUCCAAUUUCUGUCCCUUCUUGCUUACAAGCCUGCCUUCCCGGAAACAUCCCCCUUCUGCCAGAGGUCUGAAAUUCGCUUUGGUUCGAAAGACUGCGUGUGACAAAGAAAAAACAAACUGUAAAAACAAACCCCAACAAAUCCAACACACACACACACACCCAACUCGACACCCUACCCUCCUCUUAGCUCCCAUAAAAGUUUAUAAUCAGAUUGGAACCCGAGAGAAAAACCUGCGGAGGAAAGGGCAUGAAACCUCUGAAAUCUGAGGCUGGGAGCCGGCUGGAGAGGAGAAUCCUUCAUCAUUUCUGAGAUCAGAAUAAACGCUUGAUUUUGUCCCGAAAUAAUGAAGAGAUUUUCAAUGAGUCCCUUGGCCAAGCCGUCUCUAUUGUAUAUUGCAUUGAUAAAAAGGAUGUUAUUGACUAUGCAACAGUAGGCUCCUUUCCUCUCUCUCCCUCUUUCCAAAUAAACUCUCGGUCCUGUCUCUUGGUCAGUGAAAAGGUGAAACGAAUAAGAUUAAAUCGGACAAAAAAAGCAAGCUCGGUAUGUAUAUCAUCUAGAUUUUACUCCCCAGACUGUGAAGAGACAGGGAGUAAAAGAGGCAGAGCAAGCCACGGAGAGAGAGAGGGAGAGAGAGAGAGAGAGACAGAGACACAGACACAGAGAGAGGCAGAAAGCCUGAGAGAAGGUGGACGGACCCAGCAGCCGCAGCCCGGCUCCUCCCGGCCCCGGUUCCCCGCCGCCGGCCCCGGCUCCCCGGCCACUCCGGGCCAC